UUGAGGAAGAUAAUGACGGUACUCAACAAGGAAGUGACGGCUAACUACGUGCCAGCAGCCGCGGUAAAACGUAGGUCACAAGCGUUGUCCGGAAUUACUGGGUGUAAAGGGAGCGCAGGCGGGAAGACAAGUUGGAAGUGAAAUCCAUGGGCUCAACCCAUGAACUGCUUUCAAAACUGUUUUUCUUGAGUAGUGCAGAGGUAGGCGGAAUUCCCGGUGUAGCGGUGGAAUGCGUAGAUAUCGGGAGGAACACCAGUGGCGAAGGCGGCCUACUGGGCACCAACUGACGCUGAGGCUCGAAAGUGUGGGUAGCAAACAGGAUUAGAUACCCUGGUAGUCCACACCGUAAACGAUGAUUACUAGGUGUUGGAGGAUUGACCCCUUCAGUGCCGCAGUUAACACAAUAAGUAAUCCACCUGGGGAGUACGACCGCAAGGUUGAAACUCAAAGGAAUUGACGGGGGCCCGCACAAGCAGUGGAGUAUGUGGUUUAAUUCGACGCAACGCGAAGAACCUUACCAAGUCUUGACAUCCCUUGACGAUGCUGGAAACAGUAUUUCUCUUCGGAGCAAGGAGACAGGUGGUGCAUGGUUGUCGUCAGCUCGUGUCGUGAGAUGUUGGGUUAAGUCCCGCAACGAGCGCAACCCUUAUGGUCAGUUACUACGCAAGAGGACUCUGGCCGGACU
rnacentral:rRNA from 1 species